UUGGUGUAAGCCCUAGAGGCCAAUUAUUUAUAAUUGCAUAAUAAAUGUAUUGAAUAAUUUACUUAUUAAAUAAAGGCUUUUCUUUAUUAUGUUUAUGUGUUAAAUAAUAAUAGAGUCCCUAGAAUAGUAAGUUCAUUGUAUGGAACUUUAAGUAUGACUUAAUCGUGAGAUUCCAUUAAAUAUAAGAACACUAUUCUUAAACAUAUCC
rnacentral:lncRNA from 1 species